UACGUAGGGGGCAAGCGUUGUCCGGAAUCAUUGGGCGUAAAGAGCGUGUAGGCGGCCAAGCAGGUCCGUUGUGAAAACUGGAGGCUUAACCUCCAGACGUCGACGGAAACCGCGUGGCUAGAGUCCGGAAGAGGAGAGUGGAAUUCCUGGUGUAGCGGUGAAAUGCGCAGAUAUCAGGAAGAACACCAAUGGCGAAGGCAGCUCUCUGGGACGGUACUGACGCUGAGACGCGAAAGCGUGGGGAGCGAACAGG
rnacentral:rRNA from 1 species